AUACGGUAGGGGGCAAGCGUUAUCCGGAUUUACGUGGGUGUAAAGGGAGCGUAGGCGGCAAGGCAAGUCUGAUGUGAAAACCCGGGGCUCAACCCCGGGACUGCAUUGGAAACUGCUUAGCUAGAGUGUCGGAGAGGUAAGUGGAAUUCCUAGUGUAGCGGUGAAAUGCGUAGAUAUUAGGAGGAACACCAGUGGCGAAGGCGACUUACUGGACGAUAACUGACGCUGAGGCUCGAAAGCGUGGGGAGC
rnacentral:rRNA from 1 species